UACAGAGGGUGCAAGCGUUAUUCGGAAUUACUGGGCGUAAAGCGUGCGUAGUCGGUUAUGUAAGUCAGGUGUGAAAGCCCCGGGCUCAACCUGGGAAUGGCAUUUGAGACUGCAUAGCUAGGGUGCGGAAGAGGGAAGCGGAAUUUCCGGUGUAGCGGUGGAAUGCGUAGAUAUCGGAAGGAACAUCAGUGGCGAAAGCGGCUUCCUGGUCCAGCACCGACGUUCAGGCACGAAAGCGUGGGGAGCAAACAGG
rnacentral:rRNA from 1 species